UAGAUUUAAAGUGGACUCAUUCCAAUUACAGGGCCUCGAAAGAGUCCUGUAUUGUUAUUUUUCGUCACUACCUCCCCGGGUCGGGAGUGGGUAAUUUGCGCGCCUGCUGCCUUCCUUGGAUGUGGUAGCCGUUUCUCAGGCUCCCUCUCCGGAAUCGAACCCUGAUUCCCCGUCACCCGUGGUCACCAUGGUAGGCACGGCGACUACCAUCGAAAGUUGAUAGGGCAGACGUUCGAAUGGGUCGUCGCCGCCACGGGGGGCGUGCGAUCAGCCCGAGGUUAUCUAGAGUCACCAAAGCCGCCGGCGGCCGAC
rnacentral:lncRNA from 1 species